rnacentral:lncRNA from 1 species
AUGUGUCACUCUUGGAUCUCUGGGCCCUUGAGAGGAGAAUUAAGACUCCACACUUCAGCAUGGGCUAGGAUGAAGGCUUCGACGGCUCACAAACAUUCUUCUGUUGUCCAUUGCUUCAGAAAGAAGCUUAUCGUUUCCCCAAAUUCCUGGUUUUCCAAAAUCCUCAAGAGAAGAAAAAUGUCUGAAAGUGUCAUACUCCUUUAUCAUCACCUGCUACAAAAACUUGAGUACAAUUGGCAUCUGCUCAUCUCACGUGCUCAACUCAGAUGUCUGAUGUGUGGUAUUCAAGCAAGUGAGAUGCUUCCAGGGGCCUGACCCUCUCCUUCAUCAUGUCCAUAGUCAGAAUGUCUGUGGAAUUGAUCUCUGCAACUGAAGGAAUAGAUGUCAGUAAAGUAGAUGGGCCAUUCAUUGAACAAACACUUACUGAGCACCUAUCCUAUGCUGGACACUGGGCUAGUUCUUCUCAGUCAGCACAGUGAGUCAGCUGGACUCAGACCUUGGCAAGGGAAGAAAGCAAGUAUGGGGUUCCCCAGAGAGCACGUUGAUGCAGUGUGACCCUGUAAGCUUUCCUCUGUUUCCUAUUGCAGACUCCUCUCCUAGAAUGUCCCACCAUGCUCACUGUCGUUGUCCUUUCCUCUGUUACUGCCUUUCCUCCACCAAGGCUGAGGUGCCAAUUCAAAUCCUACCAUCGUUGGAAACCAGCUGAAGACUUACAUUUUCCCUCAGCUCUGAAGGCUUUCAAUGCUCACCCCUUCUCCUUAUCUACGAAAGCCCAUUGAACAUGCCUCUCUGCUACGUGUUAGGGCAACCACCUAUGACAGCUUUUUUGACUUAACCAUUUAUGACUUAACCAUUUUGGGGAGGCAGGCUAUUCUCUUUAUAUCAAGUUUCUUUAAGAAAAUGGUCUUGUUUCCUCUCAAGUUAAUGGAUUCAAAGUAGCUAACCCAUUGGAGGUAUCUGUGGUUAGGUCCUACACAACAUCUUUCAGUAAGAGAUGCGUGAUAAGUAAAUGUUGACUAGAAGUGAACUUGAUCUUGCUCUCUCUUUUUUUUUUUUUACCCCUGGAAGAUGCAAAGAGAAGUUGUGACUCCCUUUAUCCAUAUGGCUUUGCCUCCUAGCCUCCUAGCCUUGGGCACAUGAGAAUUAUUAUUAUUAUUUUUUUUUGGUGACUUAAAAUGUGAGUUUGAGUGAACUCUAGGAGUUGGUGAUGGACAGGGAGGCCUGGUGUGCUGCAAUUCAUGGGGUCGUACAGAGUCGGACACGACUGAGCGACUGAACUGAACUGAAAACAACAGAAAUUUAUUCUCUACACUUCCUGAGUGAGGCCAGAAGUCCCAAAUCAAGAUGUUGGCAAAGUUGGUUCCUUUUGGAUGCCCUAAGGGAGAGUCUGUUGCAUGCCUCUCUCCUAGCUGCUGCUGGCAAGACCUGAUGUUGGUUGGGUUGUGGGUGUGUCACUUCGUCUUCACCUUGGUCUUCACAUGGUGAUUUCCCUUCCACCGUGUGUCUGCUUUCUGUGUGUCCACUUCUCUUCUUGUAAGAGCACCAUCCUUCGGAUGCAGGGCCCACUUUAAUCUAGUAUGACCUCACCCUAACAUAACUAAUUGCAUCUGCAAAGACUGUGUUUCCAAAUAAAGUCACGUUCUGAGAUUCUGGGUGAACAUAAGUUUUGGAGACACACUAGUCAACUCACUGAACUAACUAAAGGCCACAAAUAUUUUCUUCUAUGUUUUCUUCUACAAGUUUUAUAACGUUUGGUGUCACAUUUAGUUCUGUGAUGCAUACUGGUUUAAUUUUUGUAUUUGAUGGUAGUUAUAGGUAAAUGUUUAUUUUUGUUCUUAUGGAGUCCAAUUACUCAAAAACUAUUUGUUGAAAAGAUUGUCUUCUACCUUGAGUUGUCUUUGCAUCUUUGUUGAAAAUUGAUUGAUCAUAUAUGUAUAAGUCUAUUGCCAGACUCUGUUGACUUUUUGGUCAAUAUCACACUGUCUUGAUUCCUAUAGUUUUAUAGUAAGUCUUCAGAUCAGGUAUGGUGAAUACUCUAGCAAAAUUCUUCAGAAUUAUUUUAGACAUUGUAGUUAAAUUGCUUUUCUAUACACUUUUGAUAAUCAUAUUUAUUGGGGCAUCAUAUUUAUUGAAAUAGGCUGAAGACAGAGCGGACUCAGUAUAAGCUGAGAUAAUCUGCUCUGAAGAACAGCACACAAAGGUUCCAGUAGCUGCAGAAGGAUAUGUGGUAAGAGUGUACAUUUCUUUUUUUUUGUCUUAAAAAAAAUUUAUUUAUUUUAAUUGGAGGCUAAUUACUUUACAAUAUUCUAGUGGUUUUGCCAUACAUUGCCAUGAAUCAGCCAUGGUUGUACAUGUGUCGCCCAUCCUGAAACCCAGUCCCACCUCCCUCCCCAUCCCCAUCCCCAUCCCCAUCCCUUAGGUCAUCCCAGUGCAUCGCCGCUGAGCACCCUGUCUCAUGCAUCGAACCUGGACUGGCGAUCUAUUUCACAUAUGGUAAUAUACAUAUUUCAAUGCUAUUCUCUCAAAUCGUUCCACUCUCACCUUCUCCCACCACGUCCAAAACUCUGUUCUUUACAUCUGUG